GGGAGCUUGUUAAUUGGUAGAACACAUGAAGAGCUUGACAUGUUAAAGAGGAAGGUGAAGCAACUUUCUGGGGCGGGACUGGAUGCUGAAUACUUAUCCGGUGCUGAUUUGCUUUCCAUGGAACCAGCUCUGCUGAUUGGGGACAACUGCGGGGCUGCCUUUCUCCCCAAUGACUGUCAACUGGAUGCACAUAGUAGUGCAGCAUUUAUCCAAAAGG
rnacentral:misc_RNA from 1 species